GGACCAAUAUUUGUAACACAUUCCACUGCAUUUAAAACUGUGUUGACUCAAUAUUAUGACAGUAGUAUUGGUUAUCAUACAGGGGUUUUGUCCUUUUUAACACCAUUUCAUUUUUUUAUAUUAUACAUAACAUGUGCUAUGAGGAAUCUAUUCAUACUGCCCUGUAUCUUUCUAAAAAUAUUAAAAGCUACAUAAGGUCAUUGUUUAAGGAGGCAGUGGAUACAUUUGUCAGUUAAGAAAUGUGUAUUGCUCCUCUGCUGUACUUGUUACAAUGAUCAAAUCAUGUAUACGAAAUGUCAUCUCCUACAGACUUUUAAUGGUGCUAUUUCAGUGGCAUGGAUCAGUUUUAUUCAACAAUAAAUGACACUGUCAACC
rnacentral:misc_RNA from 1 species